GCCGCAGCAGGUCAGACAGUGGCGAUGCUCCUCCCCAUGUUCUAGGCAGCAGGAGUGAGGAGAAGGCUCCUGCGGGGAAGGGGGACAUGGAGCUACCUCCUAUGCCCUGGGGUGCACCUCUGGACUCCGAAUCCCUCCACAUACUCGGACCACCAGCUAAGUAAAAGUUCCCUCUGCCCCGGAGAUGAACUGGGUCUCAAGGACCCUCAGCACCAUUGCUAGGACCUUACCUCCCCACCUCUGCCCGGGGGUUCGGGUCCUUUCGGCCUCCUCUACAGUGCUGUUUAGUUUCGGGCCCACCCCCAUCCGGCGCACACGGAAGAGCAGAGCAUUUUCCGGGAGGUUCAGCUCCGCUCUGAGAACUUUUGGUUCAGAAAGAGCGAUUCCCUUUGGCUAACAGGAAGCUGAAAAGGGCGUGGAGAGGACGCAGAAACAAGAGAGGACACGCAGCCCAAGACGACAAUAUGCUGAAAUAAAUGUCUAGACUAAAGCGCCCAUCCAGAAUGCCUGUAAGAAUGCACUCAACUAACAAAGUAUAAAGUAAAGAAUAUAAAUACACACAUCCACAGAAGAGAACGCCACUCCCUGGUCCGGACUAAAGUCUGAGGAAAGAGAAUCCACAGGCUGGAGCCUGGGCCCCAGACGCUUCCCCGGCCAGCUACUUAAGCGCAGCCCCUGGGAUGAGCAACCUCGCAGCAGCGCAGAAUGCACAUUCAACCUCAAAAUCCUACACAGGUUUCAGGUGCAACCUUAAGACCAGCA
rnacentral:lncRNA from 1 species